CAAUAGCGUAUAUUAAAGUUGUUGCGGUUAAAAAGCUCGUAGUUGGAUUUCUGCCGAGGACGACCGGUCCGCCCUCUGGGUGAGUAUCUGGCUCGGCCUGGGCAUCUUCUUGGAGAACGUAACUGCACUUGACUGUGUGGUGCGGUAUCCAGGACUUUUACUUUGAGGAAAUUAGAGUGUUUCAAGCAGGCACACGCCUUGAAUACAUUAGCAUGGAAUAAUAAUAUAGGACCUCGGUUCUAUUUUGUUGGUUUCUAGAGCUGAGGUAAUGAUUAAUAGGGAUAGUUGGGGGCAUUCGUAUUUAACUGCCAGAGGUGAAAUUCUUGGAUUUGUUAAAGACGGACUACUGCGAAAGCAUUUGCCAAGGAUGUUUUCAUUGA
rnacentral:rRNA from 1 species